rnacentral:rRNA from 1 species
UACGGGAGGCAGCAGUGGGGAAUAUUGCACAAUGGGCGCAAGCCUGAUGCAGCCAUGCCGCGUGUGUGAAGAAGGCCUUAUUGUUGUGAAGCACUUUCAGUCGUGAGGAAAGGUGUGUGCUUAAUACGUACAUACUGUGACGUUAGCUACAGAAGAAGGUCCGGCUAAUUCCGUGCCAGCGGCCGCGGUAAUACGGAUGGUCCGGAGCGUUAAUCGGAAUUAGUGGGCGUAAAGCGCGCGUUGGUGGCUUGGUCAGUCAGAUGUGAAAGCCCAGGGCUCAACCUUGGAACUGCAUCUGAUACUGCUAGUCUAGAAUACAGUCGAUGGUAGUGGAAUUUCCUGUGUUGCGGUGAAAUUGCGUAGAUAUAGGAAGGAACACCAGUGGCGAAGGCGAGUACCUGGACCUGAUAUUGACACUGGGGUGCGAAAGCGUGGGGAGCAAACAGGAUUAGAUACCCUGGUAGUCCACGCCGUAAACGAUGUCUACUAGCCGUUGGAAGACUUGAUCUUUUAGUGGCGAAGCUAACGCGAUAAGUAGACCGCCUGGGGAGUACGGCCGCAAGGUUAAAACU